CGCGUAGGUGGUUUGGUCAGUCAGAUGUGAAAGCCCCGGGCUCAACCUGGGAACUGCAUUUGAUACUGCUGAACUAGAGUGUGGUAGAGGGAAGUGGAAUUCCGGGUGUAGCGGUGAAAUGCGUAGAGAUCCGGAGGAACAUCAGUGGCGAAGGCGGCUUCCUGGACCAACACUGACACUGAGGUGCGAAAGCGUGGGUAGCAAACA
rnacentral:rRNA from 1 species